AGUGAACGCUGGCGGUAGGCCUAACACAUGCAAGUCGAACGGCAGCACAGUAAGAGCUUGCUCUUACGGUUGGCGAGUGGCGGACGGGUGAGGAAUACAUCGGCAUCUACUUUUUCGUGGGGGAUAACGUAGGGAAACUUACGCUAAUACCGCAUACGACCUACGGGUGAAAGCAGGGGAUCUUCGGACCUUUCGCGAUUGAAUGAGCCGAUGUCGGAUUAGCUUGUUGGUGGGGUAAAGGCCCACCAAGGCGACGAUCCAUAGCUGGUCUGAGAGGAUGAUCAGCCACACUGGAACUGAGACACGGUCCAGACUCCUACGGGAGGCAGCAGUGGGGAAUAUUCGACAAUGGGCGCAAGCCUGAUCCAGCCAUGCCGCGUGAGUGAAGAAGGCCUUCGGGUUGUAAAGCCCUUUUGUUGGGAAAGAAAAGCAGCAGGUUAAUACCCCGCUGUUCUGACGGUACCCAAAGAAUAAGCACCGGCUAACUUCGUG
rnacentral:rRNA from 1 species